rnacentral:misc_RNA from 1 species
GCAUAGCGGGAUAAAUAGAGCAUAUUGGUAGAAACUGGACCCGUGUCUCUAAUCCUAAGGAUUGUUGGCUGUCUGACAAUCAAUCCUCGUUUUUCAAGCUUCCUCACUAUGUAGAACAUGUCGUUGCCUUUGAUCUUAAAGUCUUUGCCAAGCUCAUUUUGUGCUACUCCUUUUCCUCUAACAGUAGCAAGGUAACGAAGAACACGCCAUUCACGGUCAGAAAGUUUAGCAUCGGAAGCAUCAAUAUCAUAAA